GAAAGAUGAUGGGAGGGAAGGAUGGGAGGGAAGGAUGGGAGGGAGGAGUAACAAAAGUGAAAACAAUUUCAAAUAGAUUUCAGUUUUUAGUUUUUGUUUUUACUUUUGUUACUCCUCCCUCCCAUCCUCCCCUCUCAUCUUCCCUCUAAAUCCCAUAU
rnacentral:miRNA from 1 species